rnacentral:piRNA from 1 species
AGGUAGCAAAAGAGAAACGGUCGUGUG